rnacentral:rRNA from 1 species
UGGGGAAUUUUGGACAAUGGGGGAAACCCUGAUCCAGCCAUCCCGCGUGUGCGAUGAAGGCCCUCGGGUUGUAAAGCACUUUUGGCAGGAAAGAAACGUCAUGGGUUAAUACCCCGUGAAACUGACGGUACCUGCAGAAUAAGCACAGGCUAACUACGUGCCAGCAGCCGCGGUAAUACGUAGGGUGCAAGCGUUAAUCGGAAUUACUGGGCGUAAAGCGUGCGCAGGCGGUUCGGAAAGAAAGAUGUGAAAUCCCAGAGCUCAACUUUGGAACUGCAUUUUUAACUACCGGGCUAGAGUGUGUCAGAGGGAGGUGGAAUUCCGCGUGUAGCAGUGAAAUGCGUAGAUAUGCGGAGGAACACCGAUGGCGAAGGCAGCCUCCUGGGAUAACACUGACGCUCAUGCACGAAAGCGUGGGGAGCAAACAGG